AUCCCCACGCUCCCUCUCUCUUAAAUCUGCCAUUCUCUCUCUUUUCUCUCUAUCGUCUCUCUCUCGCUCUCUCCUCCGGCAAAUGUCGCUGGCCCUCCCCGCCUCCGGCGCGGCCGGCCCUCUCCUUCCCCCUCAUUUUCUUUCUUCCCUAUUUUCUUCCAAAUUUCUAAAAUGUCCAAAUCAUAAAAUCUAAUUCUUAGGGUUUCUACCUCACUUCUUCCCCUCUGGAAUUCGUCUCUCUGGCGAGGCCUGCCUCCACCGUCGUCGUCUCCGUCGUGCUGCCGCCCCUCUAACUCAGCAAUCGAUGCUCUUCGAUGAACAUCGCCGACGGCAGGCAUCACCGGUCCGACGAGGCAGCCUUGGUUUUACUAUGGCUGUUCGAAUUUCAUCUAUUCCAUCUAUUCUUCUUUUGUAUAUACUCAGUUAUUAACUCCUUGUAAAACUGGAAUUUCUUGUAAAAAUUACUCUAGAUGCUAACGAAAGUUGGUGUUAUUACUUGGUA